AGAGAAUGAAAAAUCGGAUUAGCUGUUAAGUACAUCGCACUCAAGUUGCCACACCAAAGAGCUGGUGGCAUAGAUGACGUGAAUCCAAUCUCAUGCAGGAGCUGCUGAAGCCAAGUAAGUUCAAACGUUGGGCCACGAUUGCCCUGUAUUCAGCUUCAAUUGAAGAUAGAGAAACAGCUUGUUGCUUCCGAUAAGCCCAUGAAAUCAAAUGAUCACCAAGAUAAAUAGCAUAUCCAGUGGUGGACUUACGAUUGUCAA
rnacentral:misc_RNA from 1 species